rnacentral:RNase_P_RNA from 1 species
CGGAAAGAGCGGAGUAUCGCUCCCGGGAGUUUUCCCGGGGGAGGAAAGUCCGAACACCGCAGGGCACGAUGCCGCGUAACCCCCUGCACCCGGGUAGGAGUGCAGCGCGGGAUACACGCGGGCGGCGACGCCGUGAGGCGUCCCGACGGACAGUGCCACAGAAAACAAACCGCCUGUGCGCAUCCCGGCCGAUCCCGGUCGGGCCGGCGCACCGGCAAGGGUGAAAAGGUGGGGUAAGAGCCCACCGCUCGUUCGCGCAAGCGACGAGGCACGGCAAACCCCAUCGGGUGCAAGGCCAAAUAGGGGACGUUCGAAGUGGCCCGCUUCAGUUCCGCCCACGCGGAACGCGUCCCGGGUUCUGGCCGCGCAGAUAAAUGAUACUCUCCUCCGGGCCACAAGCCCGGAGCAGACAGAAUUCGGCUUACAGCUCUUUCCGGGGC